rnacentral:rRNA from 1 species
UCCUGGUGUAGCGGUGAAAUGCGCAGAUAUCAGGAGGAACACCGAUGGCGAAGGCAGGUCUCUGGGCUGUUACUGACGCUGAGGAGCGAAAGCAUGGGGAGCGAACAGGAUUAGAUACCCUGGUAGUCCAUGCCGUAAACGUUGGGCACUAGGUGUGGGGGACAUUCCACGUUUUCCGCGCCGUAGCUAACGCAUUAAGUGCCCCGCCUGGGGAGUACGGCCGCAAGGCUAAAACUCAAAGGAAUUGACGGGGGCCCGCACAAGCGGCGGAGCAUGCGGAUUAAUUCGAUGCAACGCGAAGAACCUUACCAAGGCUUGACAUUCACCGGACCGCCCCAGAGAUGGGGUUUCCCUUCGGGGCUGGUGGACAGGUGGUGCAUGGUUGUCGUCAGCUCGUGUCGUGAGAUGUUGGGUUAAGUCCCGCAACGAGCGCAACCCUCGUUCUAUGUUGCCAGCACGUGAUGGUGGGGACUCAUAGGAGACUGCCGGGGUCAACUCGGAGGAAGGUGGGGAUGACGUCAAAUCAUCAUGCCCCUUAUGUCUUGGGCUUCACGCAUGCUACAAUGGCCGGUACAAAGGGUUGCGAUACUGUGAGGUGGAGCUAAUCCCAAAAAGCCGGUCUCAGUUCGGAUUGAGGUCUGCAACUCGACCUCAUGAAGUCGGAGUCGCUAGUAAUCGCAGAUCAGCAACGCUGCGGUGAAUACGUUCCCGGGCCUUGUACACACCGCCCGUCAAGUCACGAAAGUUGGUAACACCCGAAGCCGGUGGCCUAACCCCUUGUGGGAGGGAGCCGUCGAAG